rnacentral:rRNA from 1 species
GAUGAACGCUGGCGGCGUGCUUAACACAUGCAAGUCGAACGGAAAGGCCCAAGCUUGCUUGGGUACUCGAGUGGCGAACGGGUGAGUAACACGUGGGUGAUCUGCCCUGCACUUCGGGAUAAGCCUGGGAAACUGGGUCUAAUACCGGAUAGGACCACUUCUUGGAUGUUGUGGUGGAAAGUUUUUUCGGUGUGGGAUGAGCUCGCGGCCUAUCAGCUUGUUGGUGGGGUAAUGGCCUACCAAGGCGUCGACGGGUAGCCGGCCUGAGAGGGUGUACGGCCACAUUGGGACUGAGAGACGGCCCAGACUCCUAAGGGAGGCAGCAGUGGGGAAUAUUGCACAAUGGGCGCAAGCCUGAUGCAGCGACGCCGCGUGGGGGAUGACGGCCUUCGGGUUGGAAAAUCCUUUCGCUAGGGACGAAGCGUUUUGUGACGGUACCUGGAGAAGAAGCACCGGCUAACUACGUG